CCCCACCUCCCCCACUGCUCUCUCUUCCCUCCCUCCUCUUUCAUCUCUUCCAUCUUCUCUCAAUUCUACUCGAAAGAACUUCCCGCAGAGUCCUACCUUAGCCUGCACUGUUCUCUUGGUACGCAAAUCCCAAAAAACAACAAAAUUGACCUGGAAUAUCCCAACUUUUCUUUCUUUCUUCCUUUCUUUUUUAUUUCAGCUCCAGGAAAAAUAAAACAGAAUUUGUUUGCCAUCAUAGCUUCCACCAUAGCCAAGAGGAUGACUUUCCUGGCUUACACUAACAUGACCCGACCCCAUGAAACAAUUCGUUAAUUAUUUUCCUGGAAAAUGGAUGUUUUCUUUUUUCGUUUGAGGUAGAAAGUUUGUGUUUUCUUGUUUUACAGUGCAUCGCAUAACCAAUAUAAAGGACCGUUUAGCAUUGCCAUUAAAGCUUAACCAAUACAAAGGAUAUCGCAAGGCUGAUUUUUGUGCUAUAAUGGCCGGAAACGAAUGGAUAAAUGGGUAUCUGGAGGCGAUACUGCACAGUGGGCCGGGUGCUAUUGAAGAGCAUAAGCCGACCCCGCCUCUGAAUCUGAGCGAGAGGGGGCAUUUUAAUCCGACUAAGUACUUUGUGGAGGAGGUGGUCACCGGAGUCGAUGAAACUGAUCUGCACAGGACGUGGAUAAAGGUGGUUGCCACCCGCAACACCCGCGAGCGCAGCUCCAGGCUCGAGAACAUGUGCUGGCGUAUUUGGCACCUCACUCGCAAGAAGAAGCAGGUCACUGUCGUUUAUAUGCGUAAUUAUGUGUGUGUAGAACUGGGUAACUCUUGCUUUUUCAGAUUCAUGGGUCACUAUAAGUCCUAGUUUUGGGAUAACCAACAUUGGCUAAUUCUACUCGUAUGCUUAUAUGCGUGUACAUAAUGUAAUGUUAAUUGAUUUUUGGAGUGAUGAGUUAUCUGUAAAUAUUAUGUUUCACCAGAGAAGGAAUUUUCAUGGAUGUUAAAUGAGCCUUUGCAGGUGAAUUCAUUACAAAUACUUGCAUCUCUAAAUUAUUCGUAUAAUUUUUUAAAUAAUUUGGACACGUAUAGGAUUAACCAUGCUUAUGAAAUUGAUGGUAUGUUAGUUGAAUGAUGAGACUAAGUUGGGCUCUGUUUCUGUUGAGUAAUGCCUUAAUUUUAGUGCUUGUUAUGUUUUCCCUGUCAAAAUCAGCCAAUAUGCGGAUACCCCACCAUGUUUUUCGUAAUUCCUUAUGAGCACUUGCUGUUAUGGUGCGUAAAAUUUUAGGGGGAAUAUUUAUCUUUUUUUCUCCGUUGUGGGUGAUAGAAUAUGACAGAAACUUCCCAAGGGGAUCAUGUGGCUUUCUCCUCGUCUUUACCUCCACUGUCAUGCUGUUGAACCAAGUGUGGGAUUAAUUUUAUCCAUUUUUUCUUUUAAUUAUGAUGUAAUUGGCAAGGUUAAAAUGUUGUACUGUCUGAACAGUUGGAAUGGGAGGGACAACAAAGACUGGCAAAUCGAAGAUGGGAACGGGAACAAGGACGAAGGGAUGCAACUGAAGACAUGUCCGAGGACUUGUCAGAAGGAGAGAGAGGGGAUAAUGUGGGAGAACUGUUGCAAAGCGAGACCCCAAGGAAAAGAUUCCAGAGAAACUUUUCCAACUUGGAAGUUUGGUCGGAUGACAAAAACGAAAAGAAACUAUACAUUGUCCUUAUCAGUUUGCAUGGUUUAGUACGUGGAGAAAAUAUGGAGCUUGGUCGAGAUUCUGACACUGGUGGACAGGUUAAAUACGUCGUAGAACUUGCUAGGGCACUUGCUAGAAUGCCUGGAGUGUAUAGGGUGGAUCUUUUCACUCGCCAAAUAUCCUCUCCUGAAGUUGACUGGAGCUAUGGUGAGCCAACAGAGAUGCUAACUUCAGGCCCCGAAGAUGCGGAUGGCAAUGAAGUUGGAGAAAGCAGUGGGGCAUAUAUAAUUAGGAUCCCCUUUGGUCCACGUGAUAAGUACCUCCGGAAAGAAUUACUUUGGCCCUAUAUUCAAGAAUUUGUGGAUGGAGCUCUCGCUCAUAUUCUUAAUAUGUCAAAAGUUUUGGGUGAGCAGAUUGGAGGGGAAGGCCCGGUAUGGCCAUAUGUUAUUCAUGGCCACUAUGCUGAUGCAGGUGAUAGUGCUGCUCUUUUAUCAGGUGCUUUGAAUGUGCCAAUGGUGUUAACAGGACACUCACUUGGAAGAAACAAGCUUGAACAGCUUCUUAAGCAGGGUCGGCAAUCAAAGGAAGACAUCAAUUCAACAUAUAAAAUAAUGAGGAGGAUAGAAGGAGAAGAGCUUUCACUUGAUGCUGCUGAACUUGUGAUCACAAGUACCAAACAGGAGAUUGAAGAGCAGUGGGGACUUUAUGAUGGGUUUGAUGUGAAGCUUGAGAAAGUUUUGCGUGCUCGCACUAGACGAGGUGUCAAUUGCCAUGGCCGUUACAUGCCAAGGAUGGCGGUUAUUCCUCCUGGCAUGGACUUCAGCAAUGUUGUGGCUCAAGAAGAUGCCCCAGAAGUUGAUGGGGAACUUGUGUCACUUAUUGGUGGUACUGAUGGGUCUUCCCCAAAAGCAAUCCCUGCAAUAUGGUCUGAAGUCAUGAGAUUCCUAACUAAUCCUCACAAGCCAAUGAUUUUGGCCUUGUCAAGGCCUGACCCAAAGAAAAAUAUUACCACUCUACUUAAAGCCUUUGGAGAGUGCCGUCCAUUAAGAGAGCUUGCCAAUCUUACACUAAUCAUGGGAAACAGGGAUGAUAUAGAUGAGAUGUCUGGUGGCAAUGCAAGUGUUCUCACAACAGUAUUGAAAAUAAUUGACAAGUAUGAUCUAUAUGGGCUAGUUGCUUACCCAAAGCAUCACAAGCAAUAUGAAGUUCCAGAUAUUUAUAGGCUUGCUGCAAAGACAAAGGGAGUCUUCAUAAAUCCAGCAUUGGUUGAGCCUUUUGGGCUUACCUUGAUUGAGGCUGCUGCACAUGGGCUUCCUAUGGUGGCAACUAAAAAUGGUGGACCAGUUGACAUCAAUCGGGCACUCAACAAUGGUCUGCUUGUGGAUCCUCAUGAUCAGCAAGCUAUUGCUGAUGCACUACUUAAGUUGGUAUCAGAGAAGAAUUUAUGGCAUGACUGCAGAAAGAAUGGUUGGAAGAAUAUACACCUGUUCUCAUGGCCAGAACACUGCCGCACUUACUUGACUAGGGUAGCAGCAUGCCGAAUGAGGCACCCUCAAUGGCAAACUGAUACUCCAGGAGAUGAGAUGGCUGCUGAAGAGUCAUCUCUCAAUGAUUCCCUGAAGGAUGUGCAAGAUAUGUCCCUUAGGCUCUCAAUUGAUGGUGAUAAAUCUUCAUUAAAUGGAUCACUCGAUUAUUCAGCUGCAGCUGCAGGUGACCCAGAGCUGCAAGAUCAAGUAAAGCAGGUUCUAAGCAAGAUCAAGAAACCAGAAGCUGGCCCCAAAGAUGCUGAACGUGGAAAAUUUGAGACUGGUGUGAGCAAAUAUCCCAUGUUGAGGAGGCGACGUAGAUUGAUUGUCAUAGCUCUCGACUGCUAUGGCACUGAAGGGACUCCUGAAAAGAAGAUGAUUCAGGUUGUGCAAUGUGUAAUUAAAGCUGUUAGGUCAGACUCACUAUUUGCAAGAAUAUCGGGGAUUGCUUUAUCUACAGCUAUGCCAUUGUCAGAAACAGUAGAAUUCUUGAAAUCUGCAAAGAUUCAAGUAAAUGAGUUUGAUGCAUUGAUUUGUAGCAGUGGUAGUGAAUUAUAUUACCCUGGAACGUAUAAUGAAGAAAGUGGAGAACUUUUACCAGAUCCAGAUUAUGCAUCACAUAUAGACUACCGCUGGGGUUGUGAAGGACUUAAAAAGACCAUUUGGAAGCUAAUGAACACAACUGAAGGUGGAGAACAAUCCAAGGAAUCGUCCAGCCCCAUCCAGGAAGAUUUGAAAUCGAGCAAUGCUCAUUGCAUUGCAUACUGGAUAAAGGAUCGCAAAAAGGUAGAUAAAGAUAUUUUUUGUAACGGUUGAAAGUUGAGGGAGUAUGUUUUUGUACGUGGAUUUUCAUACUGUGAUUUACAGGUUAUGAAAGUGCAUGAAUUGAGGCAAAAACUUAGGAUGCGAGGUCUUCGUUGCCAUCCAAUGUAUUGCAGGAGCUCAACAAGGAUGCAAAUCAUUCCUCUCUUGGCAUCUCGAGCACAAGCACUCAGGUAAUAUCACAAAUGAAUUUAGGAGCCUAUAUGCAUCAUCCUUCAAUAAUUAUGAUAUAGUUUUCAUAAGGGAUUCGUUGUAACUGUGGUAUUUGGACAAUUAAUAGUGUAUCCUUUCUGUUCACAUAAAUGAGAACAUAGAAAACAAAAAUUUGCAGCAAACUUAUCAAUUGGCCUGUUUCGAGAUAGCAUUUUGAAGCAGAAUGCAGCUUCAUGGACUUACAGUUAUAGAACUAUUUUGAUGCUAAUUAUCGCUCAUUGAUUAAUUGAACUUCUUGUUGUCUAACCAAAUCGUUUAACCACCAGCUUUUAAAGGAGACUUACGGAAUGAUUUUAAUAAGUUCAUUUAUUUCUGUUUCCACUUGCUUCUGAUUAAUAGGUACCUUUUUGUCCGUUGGAGGUUGAAUGUUGCAAACAUGUAUGUAAUUCUUGGUGAAACUGGAGACACUGACUAUGAGGAAAUGAUAUCUGGGGCUCAUAAGACCAUGAUAAUGAAAGAUGUGGUGACAAUAGGAUCCGACGAAUUGCUAAGAUCCAUGGACUUAAGAGAUGACUUUGUUCCUAAAGAGAGUCCCUUGGUUGCGCAUUUGAGUGGUGAAGCAUCAACCAAUGAGAUCGCUGAAGCUUUGAAGCAAGUAUCAAAAGCUUCAACUGGGAUGUGAAAUGGUAGUACAUACAUGUUUCUGUAUGAAAUUUAUUGUAUUCGUUUUUGUUUUUAUAAUGAGAUGGGAUCUUCCCCCAUUCCUCUGCAUUUCCCAAUGUGGGUAUUUGUCGUUGUCACAAUGUGGCCAAGACAAUGAACCCCACUGUAGCAAGAUGUUUUGUUGCUGUGUAUAAAAUUUGGUCUGCAAUUUACCAACUGCAAGCCCAGUUGCCCACCUUGAUAAGCAAGAGUGCAGGGUGCACUCAAUUUUUUAGAUCUUCUCACUAUAUUUUCUUGAAACAAUGCAUUAUAAGACAUGUACUCGACCAUUAAAUUAUAUAAAUGUUAUUAGUGAUGCUUAUGUAAGAGAAUGUAUGUGUUAUUGCAUGUUUAUGCCCUAUCAAAUUUCAUGUCAUAGUAUAAAAAAAGAGAGAGAAUAUUCAAGUGCUCGUCCAUCAACACUAGCGGUGAAUAUAAAAAGAUUGCACA
rnacentral:misc_RNA from 1 species